GACGAACGCUGGCGGCGUGCUUAACACAUGCAAGUCGAACGGAAAGGCCCUGCUUUUGUGGGGUGCUCGAGUGGCGAACGGGUGAGUAACACGUGAGUAACCUGCCCUUGACUUUGGGAUAACUUCAGGAAACUGGGGUUAUACCGGGAAAGGAGCUCUGGCGCCAGGGGGGGGGUUGGAAGGUUUCGGCGGUUGGGGAUGGACUCGCGGCUUAUCAGCUUGUUGGUGGGGUAGUGGCUUACCAAGGCUUUGACGGGUAGCCGGCCUGAGAGGGUGACCGGCCACAUUGGGACUGAGAUACGGCCCAGACUCCUACGGGAGGCAGCAGUGGGGAAUAUUGCACAAUGGGCGGAAGCCUGAUGCAGCAACGCCGCGUGCGGGAUGACGGCCUUCGGGUUGUAAACCGCCUUCGCCUGUGACGAAGCGUGAGUGACGGUAAUGGGUAAAGAAGCACCGGCUAACUACGUG
rnacentral:rRNA from 1 species